rnacentral:rRNA from 1 species
AUUGAACGCUGGCGGCAGGCCUAACACAUGCAAGUCGAACGAGUGGCGGACGGGUGAGUAAUGUCUGGGAAACUGCCCGAUGGAGGGGGAUAACUACUGGAAACGGUGGCUAAUACCGCAUACCAUCGGCUUGGCCCAUAUGGGAUUAGCUAGUCGGUGGGGUAACGGCUCACCUAGGCGACGAUCCCUAGCUGGUCUGAGAGGAUGAUCAGCCACACUGGGACUGAGACACGGCCCAGACUCCUACGGGAGGCAGCAGUGGGGAAUAUUGCACAAGGGGCGAAAGCCUGAUGCAGCCAGGCCGCGUGUAUGAAGAAGGCCUUCGGGUUGUAAAGUACUUUCAGCGGGGAGGCGUUACUCGCAGAAGAAGCACCGGCUAACUCCGUGCCAGCAGCCGCGGUAAUAC